rnacentral:rRNA from 1 species
AUUGAACGCUGGCGGCAGGCUUAACACAUGCAAGUCGAGCGGAGAUGAGGCGCUUGCACCUUAUCUUAGCGGCGGACGGGUGAGUAAUGCUUAGGAAUCUGCCUAUUAGUGGGGGACAACAUUCCGAAAGGAAUGCUAAUACCGCAUACGUCCUACGGGAGAAAGCAGGGGAUCUUCGGACCUUGCGCUAAUAGAUGAGGCUAAGUCGGAUUAGCUAGUUGGGGGGGUAAAGGCCUACCAAGGCGACGAUCUGUAGAGGGUCUGAGAGGAUGAUCCGCCACACUGGGACUGAGACACGGCCCAGACUCCUACGGGAGGCAGCAGUGGGGAAUAUUGGACAAUGGGGGAAACCCUGAUCCAGCCAUGCCGCGUGUGUGAAGAAGGCCUUAUGGUUGUAAAGCACUUUAAGCGAGGAGGAGGCUACUGAGACUAAUACUCUUGGAUAGUGGACGUUACUCGCAGAAUAAGCACCGGCUAACUCUGUGCCAGCCGCUGCCGUAA